rnacentral:rRNA from 1 species
AUUGAACGCUGGCGGCAUGCCUUACACAUGCAAGUCGAACGCGAAAGGGGGCAACCCUGAGUAGAGUGGCGCACGGGUGAGCAAUACAUCGGAACAUACCCAGUAGUGGGGGACAACCAGUCGAAAGACUGGCUAAUACCGCAUACGACCUACGGGCGAAAGCGUGGGACCGUAAGGCCUAGCGCGAUUGGAUUGGCUGAUGUCUGGUUAGCUAGUCGGUGAGGUAACGGCUCACCAAGGCGACGAUCAGUAGGUGGUCUGAGAGGAUGAUCAGCCACACUGGGGCUGUGACACGGCCCAGACGCCUACGGGAGGCAGCAGUGGGGAAUUUUGGACAAUGGGGGCAACCCUGAUCCAGCAAUGCCGCGUGAGUGAAGAAGGCCUUCGGGUUGUAAAGCUCUUUCGGCCGGGACGAAAUCGCUCUGGUGAAUAUCCAGGGUGGAUGACGGUACCGGAAUAAGAAGCACCGGCUAACUACGUGCCAGCAGCCGCAGUAA